rnacentral:rRNA from 1 species
CACGUAGGGCGCAAGCGUUGUCCGGAAUUAUUGGGCGUAAAGAGCUCGUAGGCGGUCUGUUGCGUCCGCUGUGAAAACUCGGGGCUUAACCCCGAGCCUGCAGUGGAUACGGGCAGACUAGAGGUAGGUAGGGGAGAAUGGAAUUCCCGGUGUAGCGGUGAAAUGCGCAGAUAUCGGGAGGAACACCGGUGGCGAAGGCGGAGAUGGCCUGGCCUAG